rnacentral:lncRNA from 1 species
ACAGUCUUUACAGUAUCGGGCUAAUAUAAAAGUUAAGCAGCUGUCUCACCAAGCAGGUUCCACCGUGUGAUCUCUGGGAAUACAUUUCAGAAUACUUCUCAGCCACCACCCACCGUCAAGGCCUUCAGUUAUCAAUUGUGGCCGACUCCAAGGAGGUCCUUGAGAGUGUAAGCAUGUGGCCAGUCAAUGGCGGGCUUAAGUGGGCGGAGUAACAGCACCUGAAGUUCCGGGGUGACUGAGGCCAGGGCCACCAAGAGAGUCUCAAGUCCCUUAGGUAUCAACAUGGGAGGGUAUGGAAGCCUUGUCACAGGAACAUUGACAGUAUGAUCGAUUGACAGGCCAUCCCCAGGGUUCUCAUUUCCUUGGGUUCACGGCCAUAUCAGUGCCACCUUAAGGUUAGUUCAUUAGCAUAUCAAGGCCUAUUCUGGACUGCAGGGUGGGCUGCCAGUGGAUUUGCUUCUGAGGUGUAGCUCUUGUCAAAGCUGCCUAGUGGCAAACUCGAGCAUUAUUUCAAAUCACACAAGAAGGCCUUUGAGUUACACAACAUGGUUUUUAAACUAUGUUCCAUACAAGCUUCCACAAAGACCUUCAGAUUCCUGGUGUCUCAGCAAAGUUUCAGAGAUCCAAACCUGUGUUGAGGCUUCCUAGAGUCUCUCUUAAGGAAAUAAUAUUUGCUACCUAGCAUAGCACCCCAACCACACAAACUUUAACAGUAGUACAUAUCCCCUUUUAAUGUUUAAAAAAAUUAAGAGUAUACUUAGAAAAAUAUAAUAAGGUGGCUCCAGGAUAAAUGGACAACCUGAGCUGGCCAUGACCUCCAGCUUUGGAUGAUGUUGCAAUCUCUGCUAUUUUAAUGGGACUGAUGUUUGAGGUUUUGUUUUUAUGAGACAGGGUCUAGCUAUGUAGCCUAGACUAGACUUGAACUCAACCCUGCCUAAUCUCCUGACUACUGAGAUUACAGGCAUAAACCACCAAACCAAGUUUACAUUAACUUUUUGUUUGUUUGAUCUGUAUAGCCUGAAGGUAUUCCUGCCUGGGGAACUGUGGAUGCGGAGAGACAUGCCCUGAUUGCCUGUCAUUAAUUUGCUUUUAAAAUUUCAGGCUGUAAACUUGAACGUGUUUGGAUUCUUCCUUUUCCUUUUGUUUGUUUUCCCCCACCCCUGUUAUUUUAAACCAUGUCCAGCUAGGCUAUUUUCUUUAGAAUAUUCAGGACUGGAGUGUUAAAGCCCCGGCUCUGAAAGGAGGAGGUCCUUAUCAGUGACUGAUCCUCCUAUGUUCAUAACGUGAGGCAGUCAAGUCCUGAGUGAGAUUAGGAGGUAGGAGGCCCAGUACACUUUCUGCUGAGCUCCUGAAGAGAUGAUGAACUGCCUGGUGUAUACAUUGUUCGUAGAGUAUGAGAUCCAAUGGGGCUUAAAGGUGCCAUGCCCUCACAGGUCUGGUGUUUUUUAGGGAUGUUGAUAACAAGACCAAGUUUCAUACCAAUCAUUUUUACCUAGGACGUUUCACAUGAACCUUGGAAUUGCUUGAGGAGUAGUUAGGUCUCUGUCCUUCACAACGAGCUUGAAGAGACUAAACAACAUGUAGGACCAUGUGGCAACCAAGACUCACGCUCAGGGCUCCAGAUGACUGCUCAAAAAACAGCACAGAUGCCAAAAGUCCACAACUAAUGUAAGCUGUAGAGAUGAUUCAGUCAGUCAAGUACUUACCAUGUAAUUAUGAGGUCCAUAGUUUGAUCUCUCCGCUUGGCACCCACGUAAAAAGCUAGAUGUAGUGAUAUGGGCUUUAAAUCCCAGUACCAGGGGAGGCAGAAACAAGAAUGUCCAGCCAGGCUAUCAGGAAUCCCCAGGUCCCAGUACAAGACCCUGUGUCAAAACAAGAUGGCCAGCUCCUGAGGAAUACUCAAAGUUGACCUCUAUUUAGCCUCCAAACAUGUGCCCACUGACACACACAACAAUAAACCCCACACUUGUUCAGGGUGUUGUGUGGUACUGUUCCUAGGGAGACAUCUACUCACUCCCAGCCUCCCCCACCAAAAACAAACAAACAACAACAGUGACAGACCAAAGUGAAAGAUAUCUCCAAAAUCCAACUUGGUAAACCAAUGAGUUACUGGGUUACUUAACAGGAAUAUCUGGGUAAUCAGACCACUCAAAACCAGCUGCAUCACCAACAGCUCACCUCAGCACAGGACAGUUUAUGAAAGCUGAAAAUUUGAAGUACACUGCAAAACUUACAGACAGUUCAACAGGUUGGAGAGUGUCUUUCCAAGCAUAGUUAAGUUGGCCCGAGGGCCCUUCCCCCACCCCCAGCCCCAUUGGGCUCAGCCUCCUUAUCUCCUCUAUGUGGCUCAGCUUGUCUGAGACUGUUUUUCGGCAGUCCUUACACCUUACAUAUGCUUGGAGAAGGAGGGACCCAAUGAAUCCAAUCAGCGACUUCCUGAAGCUCUGGGCUUGCUAACUUCCAGUGUUUAACCAGUUUCCUUACAGAUUGCAAUGUCUUAUCUUCCUUCAGAAAAUCCUCCGUUUUAAAGAGCUUUCCUCCAAGAUGGGAUGUUUGAAAUGAGAGGAAGCUGCUAACCAACACGGAAAGCAUUUAAACUGAGCCCAGAGAUAGCUAGUCAGUAAAAGCGCUAUCCAUGUAAACCUGACAACCACCUGAACACAGGUAGGAAGCUAGAUGUGGUGGUGCACAUUUGUAAUUGUGGCACUCUACGGCAUAAAUCGAGGUAAAGUAAGAACUACUAGAGCCAGGCAUGGUGGUGCACGCCUUUAAUCCCAGCACUCGGGAGGCAGAGGCAGGCGGAUUUCUGAGUUCGAGGCCAGCCUGGUCUACAGAGUGAGUUCCAGGACAGCCAAGGCUACACAGAGAAACCCUGUCUCAAAUAACAAAAAACAACAACAAAAAAGAUGGAAGGUGAGAACUGACUUCCAAAAAUUGUUUUCUGAUCACCAAAGGCACAGUGUGGCACAAGCAUGCUCUCUCUCACACACGCACACACACACCAUCCAGACACAAAUAGUUAAGUGUGUGACAGAAAUUCUGUGGCUUUGGCCUAGUACAUACCUUCUUCAGAAAGACCUUAAAGACUUUAGGAUUUGAACAGGGCACUGGAAAUGCCAACAUGCAACUAAUUUGGCCUAUAAAAGUCAAUAUUUCAUAUGCAAUCUUAGGGGUAUUUUGAAGUAAAAACAGUUUCUUUAGAAAGUUGUGUUGGAUGGUGUUUUAGUGGGGCAUACACAUAAAGGAAUGUUUUUCUGAAGCAGACACAGAUGAAAGGAUAUUUUAUUAAACCAAAUACGUAAAAG